rnacentral:lncRNA from 1 species
UUGAUUUUCCAAGGACUUGCUGGGGGUGUUACCAAGUUUCUGCCUUAGGCAAAUCCGCAUAUAUUUGCAUACAUAUAUACACGCACCCUAACCUGCAAAGGGACGCCUAGCUCUUGCCACCUAUGAAAAGACUAAUCCUUCUAUUCUCUCCAGGAUGUGCUGAAUCAAAACUUAACUGCUAAUGUUCUAGAAAUCUUAGGGGGAAAAACACAAAACGAACAUGCCAUUUAAAUUUUAAGUUUAAAAAUGUCAUUUUUGGUUUACAUUUUUUAAACUAGAAAAGAGCCUAUCUUGAAGACUUUCCAGGGUGGGAGAAAGGGAUAUAGGCAAAGAUAAACUCAAUCCUGAACCUUCCGUUGAAAAGGAGACUGGAUCUACUGUUUCCUUCUUUCUCUGUGUGCCGUGCAGUAGCUCAACCCCGUCCUAACAAGAGGGCUAACACGGCUUGGAGAAAUUGGGUCUCUUCUUUUUCCAGAAUCAUCACACGUUUUCCGAAGGAAAAAUGGACUCUCACUUUCGAAAACACAAAACCACGUUUGCUUUACGUGCCGUAGAAAAGAACUCUGCGCGCCACGCGGAGAGCAGGCUGGGCGCCGGGAGCCGGCGAGCCGAGCGCCGCGGCGUGUUGUGUAACCGGCCCGGGAAUCACGUUGCACUGCCGAGUUCCACGGGCUCUUAGUGCAAUAAUAAGCUUGAUCUUUUUAUUCAAAUACAAGGAGCAACCACAGCCGGCUCCAGGUCACGUGUCCUGAUCACAUGGUGCUCAGACGCCGAAACCGGCUGGCGAUCAUUAACUAGUGCUUACUCCCAGGGAGAGAAUGCAGGUUUUAAAGAGACGAACUCUUAUUUUUAUAAAACAGCCAGGACUGCAAUAGAAGGUGUGUUUUGUUUCGCAUUAUACGAAGAAUACUUUCCAAAAACACUGUGCAAAAUGGCCUCAGCCUUACAGGAAAAACCACCCGUGAUGGUCUGCAGCCUUAUAUCCUAUUUCAUUGAACUGUUUUCGGAAACAAUAAAUAUGUAAAGAAUUUCCAGUGUUCUACGUUCACUGUAUCACUGAAAUAUAUGUAUUUCAGGAAAUUUCCCUAGUUAGGGAGUUUGCUUGUCUCUGUUCUUUCCCCUGCUCUGCCUCUUCAAAACGAUGACAGUCUGUGACCUAAAGGAUGGAUCCAGAUCUUUUGAAGAGAAUGUAAAAUUUAUAUAUACAAAAUUUGAUAUUAAAGUAUCACAAAAUUCAGAAAAAAUACUUAUUAUUUAACACACCUCUAAAAUCCUUUUUAUCCUGCAUUUUGGAAGGCGUGUUCUUGGAGGGGCUCAUAUUCUUGAAAGGAGAGAACUUUAAUCUUGACCAGCUGUCAAUUUUAAGUGUGCCUACCAUUGUACAAAUUUAAUGAUUAGAAAAAUUUUCCCCGGACCAGCUUCUGACUAGUCUGUUCUGGCUUUGUCUGUUCCACAUCUUGUCUCUCCUCCCCCAGCCCACAGUAUCUCUGGGGCUGACGCUGCAGGACACACUCGUGUUGUAAUGUGACCUCUGGAUCUGAGCCUACACAUCUCCGUGCUGGGAUCCCCGAGGGCGGCUCAUGGCGUCAGCUCAGGAGGACAGUUGGAGAACCACUGACUGAAAUGAUGACAUUUCUUGCUUCUUUAACUGUCCAGCAGCAGCUGUGUUUAUAUUCCUGACCCGAGUCAUGGUUUUCCUUCAGGAACCGUCUGUACCUGGAAGUGCUGAGGCCUGCAAGCAGUGCGUUCAACUUCACAGUGUACCUAGAGACAGGGCCUUUGUGUGGUUUUGGAAUUGCUCUCCAUGCAUUCCCCAAGUCGUGAGCCUCCAGGUCCACUCCACCAGUUGACCUACUUUUUCAGCUGAAAGACAAUGGCCUGGCUUCCUAAAGUCCUAUGUCUAUAGAUUCCAGCCAGGUGGGACCCAAGGUGCCUAUUGAGUUAAUUUCAAAGGUGUAAUGUGUAAUGGAAGAAGGACGGGACGUGGAAUAUGGAGUUUGGAGUCAGAAGACAGGUUCAAGGCAAACUAAUCUAUGGUGUAGAAGUCAGACAGUGGUUAGGAGUUUACUGGAAAAGGGCACGAGGGGACUUUCUGGGUGAUGGAAAUGUUCCAUAUCCUUUCCUGGUGGUAGUUACACAAGUGUAUACAUUUGUCAAAUUCAUCAAACGACACUGAAGAUCUGUGUGUUUUUUACUGAAUGUAAAUUAUACAGCAGUUUUAAAAAGGGCAGGUUCAAGUCCUGGCCCUCUCUGCUACAUACUGUACAGACCACUUCUUCAUCCCUUGGCCUUGUUUUCCCACCUACAAAAUGGAAGGACCACUUGUACCUGUGCUGUGGGGGAUCGCGUACAUUAAUGAGACCGCGUGAGUCAGAAUGCUCUGCAAAUGAUAAGCAGCCCAUCCAUGGUGACUCCCAUUGUUAUGCUUUCCAGCCAGCUGCCCUCGAGAGCAGAUUACCGAGCUGGUACAAAUCUGUGGGCUCUGCUUUGCAACUUCCUUGGAGAUUAGUGUUUAUCUGUCUAUUUUAAGGAGACUCUGGAGAUAUCAAAAUGCUGCAGAAAAGCAAAUGGAAUAUGGAUUUGCCAGGGAGAGGAGAGCAGGCUGGAAAGGAACAGCUGGGGAGAGAGCCAUCAAUCCAGCACGGCAGCAGGGCCAGACGGACGCCGAGAGGGAGCCGCUAAAUGCCUGUGAGAGUCGUGACCAGUGAAAGCAGCGUGAGUUAAAAAAAAUCACAUCUUGCCAAACAAACUGGGUCACAUUGGUGAUGGAGUUAGUCACUGAGCAGAGACGGGAAAGCAUUUUCAGGGGAAAAAGCAGAAGGUGUGGAGCCGGUGGUGACUCAGCUGGAAGUGGCAAAGGCCUCUUGGGCCUCCUGGCCUGGUUUGGUAGGUAAGUGAAAGAUUCUCCACGUGGCUCCCGCUGGGCAUCUUGUGGUAUUUCGGUUUUGAACUUGAUCUUUACUCCUAAAGGCACUCACAAACAACCUUUACAUUGGAAUCAAGAGCACAGCACAAAUUUUAAAAUGGAAAAUCGUAGAGAGAAGCCAAGUUAAGCUGAGACAGGGAGAGUGGGAAGGCCAUUCUGGAGUUCGCCCUCGGAAUUCAAGUGGGAGGUGAUGUCUGUCUGAAGGCACCCCAGCUCCUGAGGGGCGGCGCCGGCCAAGUCUUUGAAUGCAGACACUUUAAAAUCAAGGCAGACAGCAAAUGCCCUUUGGCCACAAGAUCCUAUAAGAUGAAUGAACGACGCUGAAAUCAAAUUUUCAAUUCUUAGUCACUAAAAUAAAGCUAGAAUAGGGAAAGAUUCAACAGGAAGAAAUAAUCUACAAGAGAAAUCUGAUGUGUGAAAUUUUGAUUUUAUCCUCAUUAUAAAAAUUUUGGUGCUUUCUGCUAGAUAUUUCUGCCAAGAAAUGUGAUAUGUUGAAAAAGAAGAGGAAAUAUACUCUGGAGGCUGUGACUAUAAAAGGCUGUUUAAAGUGAUCGGAAUCAGUCGAGGUUCUCCCAGCAACCGUGGUUAUAAAAUUAGGAUCUUAAACUACCAAAUCUGGGUGAGAAAAAAAAACUUCAGUAAAAGCGACAUCUAAAUUUAUGUUAUAUAACUUACAUUUCCCCACAGUGUUUGUCUUUUCUCUGGGCACGUCAGACCUUUUAUGUCGUUAAUUUCCGACCCUAAGAGCCAUUCCUAUUGGAGCAAGGCAGCGAGAUGGGGUGAGGGGGCACCGUGAGAAAGCAGGGGUGUCUUUCCUGUGACCUCUGAAUUGGAAAGAGGGCGCCACGGUGAGAUGCCGACAUGUGCACGUGGGGUGUGUCAGUGUGUUGAUGCCCGUGCUCAGGAUGCUGAACAAAACCUGGGUGGGAGGAGCUUUCCCCACCCAGGCCUUUGUCUCACUGGAAAUCUGAUGCCUUAAACCUCCGCCUCAACCCUCAGUGACUCCAGUCUGUAGCUGUACUGCUCUGUUAGUCAGCCCGCACAGCAUCUGAGACUUGGCCUUUUGCAGCCUGGUGCUAGCUCCAUAGGCUUCUUCGCCCCCCUUUGUCGAGGUCUUCAGCAACAGUUGAAGCUACAACUUCUGCUCCAAGUGACUCGGGGCUGUGAAUCGUCAGAGAAUCCAUUAUUUCUCCCUGGUUUUGGAGCUGACAGACAUGGGUGUGAAGCUCAGGUCCGUCGCUUAUUGGCCAAUUAGGAAAACUCUGUGAACACUGAUUUUCUUGCCUUGAAGGAUGGCACAGAGCUGAUACGCAUGAGCUAUAAUUAGCUGCUUAACAUUUUUGCCAGUGACUUGAAUGGACCUUGAUGGUGAGAUUGCCAAGUCAGCAGGCAACCAGAAACAAACAACAGACUCAAGGUCUCAAAGACUGUGUUUUUGUCCCAAAUCAACUUUCCAAGUACAGAACUGGGGGACAUGUGAUUUAAUGGCAGCACCUGUGUGAUCCUGUGAUAUAAUAAGAAAUAUGUAUUUUGUCUUCAUCCCUCGUUCCUGGUACCAGAUCUUCUAAAACCCUUGGAAUUUCCUGAGUGACAGGGGUGACAGGAGCAUCUUUGUUAUUUAUAAUAAGCCCCUUUCAACCAUACUUGAGUUUAUGCUAAUGAAGUGACCCUUGUGGUGGUGGUGGUGGGGGGGUCCCUUGAGAGCUUCAGGAUGGGAGCUCAUCGCCUAUGUGAUUAGAGGGUUGGAACUUUCAGCCCCACCCCCGACCUCCAGGAAGGGGAGAGGGACCAGAGAUUGAGCUAAUCACCAAAGGCCAGUGAUUUAAUCAAUCAUACUUAUGUAAUGAAACCUCCCUAAAACCCCCUAAACCCUGGGGUUUGGAGAGCUCCUGGGUUGGUGAACACACUGAGGUCCUGGGAGGGUGACUGCCCAUGGAGGGCAUGGAAGCUCCCCCAUCCCCCUCCCCUAAUACCUUGUCCCAUGUAUCUCUUCCAUUUGUUCAUUCGUAUCUUUUAUAAUAUCCUUCACAAUAAACUAGUAGUAGUGAGUAACGUGUUCGCCUGAGUUCUGUGAGUUGUUAUAGGAAAUUAUUGAACCUGUGAUAGCCAGCUGGUCAGAAGUACAGGAGGCUCUGGGACUUGUGUGUGGCAUCUGAAGUGGGAGCAGUUUUGUAGGAUUGAGCCCUAACCUGUGGGAUCUGUGCUAACUCUGGAGGGUUGGUGUCAGAACUGAGUUAAAUUGUGGAACACCUAGUCGGUGUCCAGAGAUUUGGAGAAUUUGUUGGUGUGGGGAAAAACUCCCACUCAUUUGGUGUCAGAAGUGUUGUGAAUAGAAGAAGAUCAUAACCUGUGAAAUAGAUUUAGGAGUCUGGCCCACAGUGAGCCCCUGUAGGGACAGAGCCAGGACAAGGUAAUCUGAUUGUGUCAGAGUUCUUUAGUUGCAAGCAAUUGAGACAGACUCUGACAAACUUAUUUGGAAAAGAACUUUGCUAGAAAGCUAUGGAAUAGUUGUUGGAUGCUGAAGGGCCAACCCUCAAGAAUAAGAGGAAGGGGACAUUAGCAGGAUUGAAUGGACAGACUUUGUGUGUCCCCCACCCCAUCAGAAUGUCUCUGCUCCACUGUUUUUUGUUAUAUCAUUCUCCCCAAAGCUCAAAGGCCUAAGAACCAGAGUCGGAACGGCCUAAAUUGGUUUCUGUGUGCUACCAUCCCAGUAGGAGGGGGCAGGGAGAAUCUUGACUGAAGGGCCCUCAAGACUUCUCAGACUAAGGGAAGAGUAAUUCCCCAAUGGGAAAUCAGGGUGCUUUCACCCAAAACAGUGGAAAGGCAUGUUCGAUAGGCCAAAGCAAGAGAUCUCCCCUGUUAAAAGAAAGGAGCACGAAAACAAUUCCAUCUUACCCUUCCCUGGUCGGAUCAGGUCCAGUUCUGGGCGGCACACUUUCAGAGGCCUUUGCUUGGGAAGGUGUGAAAAAGGGCAACUAAGAUGGUCAACAUCUGGAAAACAUGACACAUAAGAAAUGGUUGAAACAGAAUUGAGGAGAUCGGACCCAAAAAAGAGAAGACUGAGGGGGCAUCGAAUGGCUGUCCUCAGAUAUCUGAAGCUCUGGUACAUAGAAGAAUAGUCAAUUUGGUGGCUCUAAAAGGAAGAACUAAAACCAAUAAACAGACUUGAAAGGGGGAGAGAUUUCAGUUCAGUAUUUAUAGGAAAGAUCUUUCAAGAAAUCAACUGCUGGAAAUUAAAUGAGCUGGCAUAAGGUAGGGAACUUUCCAUCCCUGGGAAGCCUCAGUUCUUUAAUUAGCAAGAGCAAUAAGCACACUCCUCACUUUGGAUUACAGCACACCGUGUUGUGGCCCUGCGGCUGAGGACCCUGACCUAACAGCUCUCAAUGAAACAGCACUCCCUGUUUGGCCACAUCUGCCGAAGAGCGCUUUCCCGUGUGUGAAGCUCCAGAUGUGCACAAUGUAACAAAAACAAAAAUAGACAAAUGGGACUAUAUCAAACAAAGUCUUCUGUGCAUUAAAGGAAACCAUGAGCAGACUGAAAAGCCAACCUAUGGAAUAGGACAAAGUCUUGCAAAUCAUAUAUCCCGAACGUAUAAGGAACUUCUACAAAUCAACAACAAAAACAAAUAACUUGAUUAGAAAGUGGGCAAAGGACACAAAUAGACAAUUCUCCAAAGAAGAUAUACAAAUGGCCAGUAAGCAUGUGAAAAGAUGUUCAACAUCUUUAUAGCAAUGCAAAUCAAAACCGCAAAGAGCUAUCACCUCACACCCAGGAGGGUGGUCACUAUCAAAAGAACAGAAAAUAGCAAGUGUUGGCGAGGAUGGGGAGAAGUUGGAGCGCUGGUGCACUGUUGGUAGGUGCAACCCAAUGUAAAAUGGUGCAGCCAUUAUGGAAGACAAUAUAGAUUCCCUCAAAAGUUUAAAAAUAAAAUUACCAUAUGAUACAGCAAUCCCACUUCUGGGUAUAUAUCCAAAAGAAUUCAAAUCAGGAUCUUGAAGAGAUAGUUGCACAUCCAUGUUCAC